GACGAACGCUGGCGGCGUGCUUAACACAUGCAAGUCGAACGGAAAGGCCUCUUUCGGGGGGUACUCGAGUGGCGAACGGGUGAGUAACACGUGAGUAACCUGCCCUUGACUUUGGGAUAACUUCAGGAAACUGGGGCUAAUACCGGAUAGGAGCUCCUGCUGCAUGGUGGGGGUUGGAAAGUUUCGGCGGUUGGGGAUGGACUCGCGGCUUAUCAGCUUGUUGGUGGGGUAGUGGCUUACCAAGGCUUUGACGGGUAGCCGGCCUGAGAGGGUGACCGGCCACAUUGGGACUGAGAGACGGCCCAGACUCCUACGGGAGGCAGCAGUGGGGAAUAUUGCACAAGGGGUGGAAGCCUGAUGCAGCAACGCCGUGUGCGGGAUGACGGCCUUCGGGUUGUAAACCGCUUUCGCUCAUGACGAAGCUCUGUGUGACGGUAGUGGGUAAAGAAGCACCGGCUAACUACGUG
rnacentral:rRNA from 1 species